GACGAACGCUGGCGGCGUGCUUAACACAUGCAAGUCGAACGAAGUGGCGAACGGGUGAGUAACGCGUAAUCAACCUGCCCUUCAGGGGGGGACAACAGUUGGAAACGACUGCUAAUACCGCAUACGGAAGGAGGGGAUUGCGGCUGAUUAGCUAGUUGGAGGGGUAACGGCCCACCAAGGCGAUGAUCAGUAGGCGACCUGAGAGGUGGAACAGCCACAUUGGGACUACGACACGGCCCAGAGUCGUACGGGAGGCAGCGGGGGGGAAUCUUCCGCAAUGGACGAAACCCUGAUGCAGAAGCGCCGCGUGCGGGAUGACGGCCUUGGGGUUGUAAACCGCUUUCAGCUAUGACGCGGUAGUGGCAGAAGAAGCACCGGCUAACUACGUGCCAGCAGCCGCGGUAAUAC
rnacentral:rRNA from 1 species